AUUCGUUAGCGGCGGACGGGUGAGUAACACGUGGGCAACCUGCCCUGUAGACGGGGAUAACACCGAGAAAUCGGUGCUAAUACCGGAUAACAUGAAAUGUCGCAUGACGUUUCGUUGAAAGACGGCGCAAGCUGUCGCUACAGGAUGGGCCCGCGGCGCAUUAGCUAGUUGGUGAGGUAACGGCUCACCAAGGCGACGAUGCGUAGCCGACCUGAGAGGGUGAUCGGCCACACUGGGACUGAGACACGGCCCAGACUCCUACGGGAGGCAGCAGUAGGGAAUCUUCCGCAAUGGGCGAAAGUCUGACGGAGCAACGCCGCGUGAGCGAAGAAGGCCUUCGGGUCGUAAAGCUCUGUUGUUAGGGAAGAACAAGUAACGCAGUAACUGGCGUUACCGUGACGGUACCUAACGAGAAAGCCACGGCUAACUACGUGCCAGCAGCCGCGGUAAUACGUAGGUGGCAAGCGUUGUCCGGAAUUAUUGGGCGUAAAGCGCGCGCAGGCGGUUCCUUAAGUCUGAUGUGAAAGCCCACGGCUCAACCGUGGAGGGUCAUUGGAAACUGGGGGACUUGAGUGCAGAAGAGGAGAGCGGAAUUCCACGUGUAGCGGUGAAAUGCGUAGAGAUGUGGAGGAACACCAGUGGCGAAGGCGGCUCUCUGGUCUGUAACUGACGCUGAGGCGCGAAAGCGUGGGGAGCAAAC
rnacentral:rRNA from 1 species